CUCCGCCCCGCCCGCCAGGGGCGGCGGGCCCUACGAACCUUUGUAUCUCAACCACUAGAAAACCGUCUGAGGAAAACAAACAAAAUAAUCAAAACUUUCAACAACGGAUCUCUUGGCUCUGGCAUCGAUGAAGAACGCAGCGAAAUGCGAUACGUAAUGUGAAUUGCAGAAUUCAGCGAACCAUCGAAUCUUUGAACGCACAUUGCGCCCGCCAGCAUUCUGGCGGGCAUGCCUGUCCGAGCGUCAUUUCCCCCCUCACGCGCCCCGUUGCGCGCUGGUGUUGGGGCGCCUCCGCCUGGCGGAGGCCCCCGAAAGCGAGUGGCGGGCCCUGUGGAUGGCUCCGAGCGCAGUACCGAACGCAACGUUCUCCCUCGCUCCGGACGCCCCCCAGGUGCCCUGCCGUGAAAACGCGCAUGACGUGCAACUCUUACCCAAGG
rnacentral:rRNA from 1 species